UAGGCGACUGCGUCGCUCAGCUCGCCGGCGACGAUUUUCUCCACAAGUGCGUGUUUGUGGAUUGGAGAUGACGCGCAUACCUGAGAUUAUGAGGACGCGGUGGUCAAGAAGGAGUUGGACCUUGCAAACGUCGGUGAGCUGUGGUUUUAUCGAAUAGGACUUAGCCGGCGACGGGAAGUGACCACCUAGGAGCAGAGAUCCAACGUCGCCUUUGUCUCACUCUCACACCUAGGAUUCGUCAACAAAGGAAGGACUGCGCCGUCCAUUGGCGAGGAGCAGACGAUGAACGCCGCGGUAGCCUCUUCCAGCGCAAUGGCCUCUUCCCUCCCUUCUGCUCAAAUUAAGAGGGGGGAAGGGGACGUUGGCAAAUUAGAGCCUGACAGAAGGUUCGUUAGCGUCGUGCUUGUCAUCUCGUCGAGCCCCUCCUUCAGUGCUUGAUCAAAUCACGCGGGUUUGCGAGCUGCUCGACGGAAUUCGCCACAGGAGUAGGAAGUGGAAAGAAGAAAAGGAUCAGAAGAAGCCAUCGACGGGGGACGGGGGAGAGGUUUGAUGUAGACGGGGAGGACGACGCAAUGGCAGUGGAUGAGGGGAGGGGAUGUGCCUGUAUGCGUGCGCCGCAGAGCGUGGCGGCCGACCAUCACGGGCGGAGCCGCUGCAGCCUCUCUUCUCCUCUUCUCGAAGAGGAACUGAGAUUAGACUAGAGCUACUCCCGCUGUUGUUACCUCCUUACUCUUGAUGAUUACACCUUGAUUAAAGACUGAUCACCCGAUAAUAGGAUGAUGCUCUGUUUUCCUCUUAAUCUUUCAGUCCGUUCCAACUGUGAGCUCUCACAUAAACGAGUAGAUUCUUCUUUCCAAUCAGAUGGAUCAGUGUCACUUCGGGUUCAUCAGGCUGAUCGUGCUCAUCUAUCAUCCGCUCUUUGUUGCUGAGCUUGAAAUAUACUCAACAUGAUACACGUCAGCUGCCUCCAGUUCAAGAAUUACAAGAUGCAAGAAGAACUGAAAUCAUGCUUCGAGCAAACUUUGAUCAAUGAUG